AUUGAACGCUGGCGGCAGGCCUAACACAUGCAAGUCGAACGAGUGGCGGACGGGUGAGUAAUGUCUGGGAAACUGCCUGAUGGAGGGGGAUAACUACUGGAAACGGUAGCUAAUACCGCAUACCAUCAGAUGUGCCCAGAUGGGAGUAGCUAGUUGGUGGGGUAACGGCUCACCAAGGCGACGAUCCCUAGCUGGGUUGAGAAGAUGACCAGCCACCCUGGAACUGAAGAACGGUCCAGACUCCUACGAGAGGCAGGAGUAGGGAAUAUUGCACAAUGGGAGAAAGCCGGAUGCAGCCAUGCCGCGUGUAUGAAGAAGGCCUUCGGGUUGUAAAGUACUUUCAGCGGUGAGGCGUUACCCGCAGAAGAAGCACCGGCUAACUCCGUGCCAGCAGCCGCGGUAAUUC
rnacentral:rRNA from 1 species